UGCUACGAACCCUGCUAAGACCUUUAAGC
rnacentral:piRNA from 1 species